CCUCACAUCUCACACAGCUGCAUCUGGAGGGCACUGACGGUUCAUCAUCACUGGAAGUUUCAUCGUCAGCUGGCUGCCAUCCAGACUGCAAACCCAGGAUGUUGAGCCUGAAAAGAUGUGAUCUGACAAACAAUGUCUGCGGUCUGGUCUCUGUUCUGAUCUCACACAAAUCCACACUCUCUGGGGAACGCUUGAGUGAAGAGGAGGUGGAAUGUUUAUGUUCUACUUUUUGUCAUCAGGAGGACUGCAGACUGGAGAAAGUACAGCUGGAUGACUGUUACCUGUCUGAGAAGAGCUGUUUCUAUUUGGCUUCGACCCUAACCUCGCAAUCAUCACAUCUCAAGCACCUGCAUCUGGAUGUCUUUAUUCCCAAGGAUUCUGCUGCUGAGAAGCUAAUUGCUCUGAAAAAUGAUCCACA